AUGUAUUUUCUAGCUAUUUCCUUAGCAAGAUCUUGGAGUGUUCAUAAAUUGACUUUGACUCCUCCAGUUUACGAUUUUACAGCAUCCAAGAAAGAUAAAAUGUUUUCUGCUGCAGCUAAGGAGAAUAAUAUUGCUACAGUCUAUUUACUUGUAUUGCAAGGGGCACUGACCUUCAAGAUGAGGGAGGAGACAAUAGAGCAGAGUUUUUGAGACCAUACUGGUUAUGGGCAUGAGCUGAACAUGGAUCAAUGACAAGGCCAAAUGAGCUGUGGCAUGUGGGCAGUGAAAUGGUACCAGAAGGUUUGGAUUCAAGUCCCACCUGCAUUUCCUAGCAUUGAGGUCUGUAUCAGAUACUGUUGGAGCCCUUUCUUUUAUUCUCGCCUCCCUUUAAUGGGGCUUCUUUGACACCUGAGCAUGGUAUACCUCUUAGAAUUGGCCCUUAUGAAUGUGAAACCUGGAAGUAUAGGGGUCUUACCAACCCAUAGGGCAACUCUUGACCAAUAGGGGUCUUACCAAACCACAGGGCAACACUUGACCAAUAGGGGUCUUACCAACCCACAGGGUUACUCUUGGAUAAAUAUCCUUCUAUCCUUUGGGCAGAUGACUCCAGGUGCAUUCUAUAUGUCUCACUUUAGUGGCUCUUUGGGAUGGAUCCCAGUUGCCCACAUCAGUGACGUAGUCCACAAGUAGGUUGUAGUAUAGGCAACUCUUCAAAUUCUCAGCUUCUGUCCUUUACAGGCUUUCUGUCUUUUCCCAGGUGUAUUAUGCUUUUGCUUACUACUGAAAACAGCUGUGUCCUCUCUCACAAGCCCAUUAAACAGGUGCUGGGUUUCACACCAAAGGUGGCUGUGAUUUAGCAGGUGGAGGCAUAAAAUAGGAAGUAAAAUCUAAACAUAAGUUGGAUUAGAAUGGAGAGUGCUAACAGAUGAGAGGUGCUACAAAGCUCAAAGCUCUGCUGUUUUUUUUCCUCCUGAAUUUUCAAGAAUUUUGAGAAGGCAUGAGAACAAUGUGUUUACAAACAUACUCUGUGUUUACAACACCUUCUGGUUAUUCUGUUAUGCUAAAUAAAACAAGGGAGCUACAGUUGGUGUGGGAAAUG
rnacentral:lncRNA from 12 species